GACAGAGGUGCCAAGCGUUAGGCGGAAUCACUGGGCUUAAAGCGUGUGUAGGCGGAAUUGUAAGUACCUUGUGAAAUCCCACGGCUCAACCGUGGAACUGCUCGGUAUACUGCUUUUCUUGAGCCACUUAGGGGCUGUCGGAACAAACGGUGGAGCGGUGAAAUGCGUAGAUAUCGUGAAGAAGGCCUGUGGCGAAAGCAAGAUUCUGGGUGACGACUGACACUGAGGCACGAAAGCCAGGGGAGCAAACGGG
rnacentral:rRNA from 1 species